GUGAAUGCUUACAUAGGUAGAAUGACGAAUCAACGACCUCUUAGUCUUUUACUAUCGUAGUUUCGAAAUUGUCCUCCUUUGUUGCAAGAUCUUUUAUCGAGAAACUCCUGCUCAUAUACAUACGCUACCUGGUCAUCCCACUACACACCACUAAAGGAAGCUAGAAACUCUCUUCUCUCUAUUGAACGUCGGACCUCCGUUUGCUGGGUUCCCGUGUAGUCCU
rnacentral:lncRNA from 1 species